rnacentral:rRNA from 1 species
AUGAGCAAGCCAGGCGGCAGCGCUGGCGGCGCCACGGCGGGCCCGACGGCGGCGGCCGCGGCCGCUGCGGCGCAGAAGCAGAGGGCGCUCCUCCAGAAGGCCGACGCCGACGUCAGCAGCCUCGUCGACAACUUCUCCGCCCUCAUCAACAUCGCCCGCGUCAACGACCCGCCCGUGCGCAACUCGCAGGAGGCGUUCCAGAUGGACAUGCGCGCCUCCCGCAUGGUGCAUUCAGCAGACUCUCUGUUGAAACUAGUAUCGGAACUUAAGAGGACAGCUAUCUUUUCUGGGCUUUCUUCUUUGAGUGAGAAUGUUGAUAGGAGGAUUGAAGUGCUCAGUCAACAGGCAGAGGAGACAGAGAGAAUGCUGGAGAGGAUUGGGCAGGAAGCAGCAGCAAGCCUUAAGGAGUUGGAGGCACAUUACUACUCGUCUGUUGUGCGGACUCCGCUCUAUGAUUGA